UGGGUCUGCCUCUUCCGUGGGUCUGCCUCCCGCGCCGUGCCUCCGCCCCCUCCACGCUCGUCGCUCCCCCGCUCGAGCAGAGAGCAGUUGCCAGCUCGCGCCGCUGCCCUCCACCACCACGUCCCCGCUCCCCCGCCCUGACGCCCCGACCGACGCGCCUUCCUCCCCCUCGCGCUCCGCUCUCACCUCCCCCCCACCCCGCACGGAUCCGAAACCGCUGCCGCCACACCCGGCCUCCUCGCCUCCGUCGCCGCCGACAGUUCGCCUCCGACGGCGCCGACCGCCCGCUGCAUUGCCUCCCCACUCGUGCCCAGCCGCUGGCUCCACUCAAGGACGCGAUGCCCCCUGCCCGGGUCCGUGCGUCUGCCGCUGCCUCGCCACCUGUGCCCGUGAAGACCGAGGAGCCCGAGCCGUCUUUGGUUCCUUCCUCGGCAACAGCAACAAGGGGCCGCGGUCUCCGCUUUCCGGCCUCGCGGGACGCAUCCUUGCCGCUCGCCCUGCGCCUCCUCCUCCACCCUGACUAGCAAGCAGAGCAGGCUGCCGCUCCUCCUCCCUGACCAGCAAGCAGAGUAGGCUGCCGCUCGCCCUGCGCCUCCUCAGGUGGGUUCCCGAUUCCUCAAGUGAGCAUGUUGAGCAUAGAGUUGUUGAAUCAUCAUUGUGGUGUACGUUUCCCUUUCCAUCUCUCUAAUGCUCGUAGUCCCAAGAAUUUCCCAAGGCUCCUUGGGAUUGUUCGGAUUGCUAGGCUUCUUUGUGCGGGAAUUGCUUUUAUGCGGAAGUAUCGUAGUCGCACACCCUUAACUCCUACUGCUUCCCACGAUUUGGACUGGAAUUUCUAGGGCUAGGGUCUCGUUUAGUUUGUGCUUCCAUAUGGCUCUGGAAUCUUGAUAUAUACUCGAUGUUUCCAUUGGGCGAAUUGCAAGUGCUCCCUUAUGUCUUCAUCAGUUGUCCAGCAUGUGAUCCUCAACGCUGACAUUUUUGUAUCAUACAAGUGAAAGACCAAUACCUAUUGCAAUUGUGUAAAACUGUAAAUUAACGUAUUCUCAUUUUUUCUUAUCCAAUUAAUAUUGCUGCAAGUACAUGUGAGUGGAUUAUUCUACAGAGUCCAUUUCUGGCAAAUAGGGCAAGUAGGAUAUUUGAUUACUUUUGUAAGAACUGUUUGGCUAUAACAGUGUUUAUGGUUACAAGUUAACUGGUGCAACUUUUUUUUGUUUCCUUCAGUAAUGUACUAAUGGUUGUUAUAUAAAAACCAUCCCAUAUUAAGUCAAGGAAUCACAAUAGCAUGAGGCAGUGGCUAGAUCUGCAAAUUCAGAUCUUGCAAUAGAAGAGCUCAAUAGGUUUACAACAUUUUAAGAGCUUCCCCUUAGGACAACCUAUAAAUAAAUUCGGAGGACAAACAGCCAACCAUUUCCUUGGUUUGGAACACCCAUUGUCUGCAAGCAGGGGCCAUCUGUUCCAAAAAAAACUGUGAGCACAGAUCAUUAGUUAGAUUUUAGUUUCAAUGCAACAUAAAAAUCUGUUGGUUUUCCUACUUCCUAUGGAUUAGAAUAAUCUAUACUUGUACUCAAUUGGCAGCUAAACUGUUGUGAUUUAAAUUUGAAUUCUAGCUAUGGUGGCUUCUUGUCUGGUUCUGCUCAAGGUUGUUCCUGGUACAUCAACAGCUGCUACUCCUCACGUGUCCGUUUUUGUUCAUCAGUUCAUUCUGGCUUCCAUAUGUGAUAUGUCACAUGCGUGCUAUGCAUUCGAUGAAUUUUGUGUGGAGAACCUUGACAUCAUUUGAUUCUUUUUUUUUUGAAAGGAAUGACACCAUUUGAUUCUGUAUCUGUUGUGUUCAAGCAACAAAAUCAAGUUCUGACAAAUUUGAAUAAAAAUAAUCAAGGCAGUGUUUUCGAAUGCCUCAGUAAAUGGGAAUCUGCCAAUGCUAUGUAGAGUGCUCUUUGGCAGUGCUUGUUACUGAGAAGAAGCGCUUGUCUGCAUCAAGUGUAUGUCAGAAUUUCAGACUACUGCAACAGCUAAUUGAGGUUCACUUUUGAGACAAGCAAUGUUGCUACCAUUUGACAACAUGGCACCCGUAGCAACGCACGGGCAUUCAACUAUUAAAAAAGAAAAUUACUGCUGGAGGAGUACUCCGUAGAGGACAUUCGACCCAAAAAAAAUUGUAUGGGUGUUUUAUUAUUUUCUUAGGAAAAACUCUGUGUGUGUGUUUUGAAUAAAGGCCG